AACAAACGCUGGCGGCGUGCCUAACACAUGCAAGUCGAACGAGAAAUUUCCUGCUUGCAGGAGAAAGUAAAGUGGCGCACGGGUGAGUAACGCGUGGGUAACCUACCUUUGAAUCUGGAAUAACCAGCCGAAAGGCUGACUAAUACCGGAUACGGUUUUUUAGGCUUCGGUCUUUUAAAUUAAAGGUGACCUCUUCAUGAAAGUUGCCGUUCAUAGAUGGGCCCGCGUACCAUUAGCUUGUUGGUGGGGUAAUGGCCUACCAAGGCGACGAUGGUUAGCUGGUCUGAGAGGAUGAUCAGCCACACUGGAACUGGAACACGGUCCAGACUCCUACGGGAGGCAGCAGUGAGGAAUUUUGCGCAAUGGGGGAAACCCUGACGCAGCAACGCCGCGUGAGCGAAGAAGGCCUUCGGGUCGUAAAGCUCUGUCAAGUGGGAAAAAAAUCUUUUGAUCAAUAGUCAAAAGACUUGAUGGUACCACUGGAGGAAGCACCGGCUAACUCCGU
rnacentral:rRNA from 3 species